GUGCCUUAAACUAAUGAGUAAGGAAAAUAACGAGCUUGGGUGAUGCCAGGCUCCUAGGCCGAGUCCUAGAGGAAUUUGUGAUGGGGCACAGGUCACCCCCAGGUGACCUACCUACUUUGUGGGAUGCCUGGGUUGAUGUGAUCUGCCCU
rnacentral:snRNA from 1 species